AGCGAACCGCCGCGCGUGUAGAGGUGUGUGCGUGGGACGAAACAUGAUGGAUGAAAAACGCGAGGAGCGGGGUCUGAAGUCUUUCGUUGGUCACACACACAUGCAUCUACCGUUGGAUUGCGUUGAACCGAGUCUACCCAUCUCUCUCGUUCUACCAUGAUUUUUUCUGUUAUCGCACUCAUCCGGGUGUUAGGCAAUCUCAGUCUAUCCAGAACUUUCGUUGUGGAAGGAUGUGCGGGAGUGAUGUGCGAUUUCUUGUGUCCCCUACUUUCCUUGUUUACGUUUUGCGCAGUGUUGCUUCUUAUUCCGUUGUGGGAUGAUUUAUCCUAGCUAACUUGUUGAGUUACAGGUGCAUGUGCCAUUCAUCAACGCCUACGUGUUGGCAUCAUCAACAAUCUUCAAAGUGGGUGACGGAAAGAAAUUGUUUUCCAGUUUUAAAAUAUUAAGCGUUCAGCACAACUCAGCCACAAAACAACGCACUGGAUUACGCUAAGAACCUGUCGAAACGCGCGCAGCCCCCGGGAGCGGUAGGAGAAAGGAAGAACGAGAGGAGCAAAAACUAAAGCCAGCGCGCAGCUCUGAUGGUACCCCGGACGCGGUAAGGAGAAAAAAGAUCGAGAGGAGGAAGAACGGUAAAUUUUAAAGGGGGAGACCGUUCUGCCGUCUACAAAGUGUGAGUAUGGCAAAGCACGUGUUGGAACGGAGAGAAAAUGUGUGGAAUAAACUGCAUGCGAAUGUGUGUAUACACCAAAUGUAAACAUGUGUGCCUCAUCAUUUCUAUACGCAAUCCGAAAAGGGGGUGGAGCAAACACAUUGGUAUGCGUGAGGUGCAUAAAAAAUCAGAGCGUGAUAGUAUGUGUGAACGCGAUCGUUCGGGUGGAAGGUGUCUAUCCCAAGGACGAAAAAAGCGACGGCGGCCUGUGUAAUCUGAGCUCUCUACAAAGCUCUCCACGAAGCUCUAGUUUGCAGGCUUGUCGAGAGCUUCGCCACAGGCGCCCGAACCAUCCGUCACGCACACAUCUAAACGUUUUGG